UGUGUGGCACUUUAUAAUCUUCAGG
rnacentral:piRNA from 1 species